rnacentral:tRNA from 1 species
GGAGGGUUGGCAGAGUGGACGAACGCGCCGCACUUGAAAUGCGGUAUACCGGAAACGGUAUCGGAGGUUCGAAUCCUCCACCCUCCG